rnacentral:rRNA from 1 species
UAAUGUGAGUUAGCUCACUCAUUAGGCACCCCAGGCUUUACACUUUAUGCUUCCGGCUCGUAUGUUGUGUGGAAUUGUGAGCGGAUAACAAUUUCACACAGGAAACAGCUAUGACCAUGAUUACGCCAAGCUAUUUAGGUGACACUAUAGAAUACUCAAGCUAUGCAUCCAACGCGUUGGGAGCUCUCCCAUAUGGUCGACCUGCAGGCGGCCGCACUAGUGAUUCCACGACCCUUAUGAGUAAUCCGUGGUUUUUUGGCAUAAAGGCCGUAUGAUCAAAUAACUUCGGUGUGGCGCUAUUAAUUGUGGUCAUAGCCCUUAUUUGUAUAUAGUAAGUAGGCCCCGCUCCGAAACAAAGAAAAAAGGUGCGUUAGCACUCACGAGGGACUGCCAGUGAGAUACUGGAGGAAGGUGGGGAUGACGUCAAGUCCGCAUGGCCCUUAUGGGCUGGGCCACACACGUGCUACAAUGGCAAUGACAAUGGGAAGCAAGGCUGUAAGGCGGAGCGAAUCCAGAAAGAUUGCCUCAGUUCGGAUUGUUCUCUGCAACUCGGGAACAUGAAGUUGGAAUCGCUAGUAAUCGCGGAUCAGCAUGCCGCGGUGAAUAUGUACCCGGGCCCUGUACACACCGCCCGUCACACCCUGGGAAUUGGUUUCGCCCGAAGCAUCGGAACAAUGAUCACCCUUGGUAUUUAUUCUGUGUCACACUAGUCACACAAUGCUUUUUGUUGGUCUUAUUGGCCUAUACCACGGUGGGGUCUUCGACUGGGGCGAAGUCGUAACAAGGUAGCCGUA